CAACCCUCAAGCCCCCGGGCUUGGUGUUGGGGCUCGGCCCGUCCCUAGCGGACGCGCCGUCCCCGAAAUCCAGUGGCGGUCUCGCUGUCGCCUCCCCUGCGUAGUAGCUAACACCUCGCAACGGGAACGCAGCGCGGCCACGCCGUUAAACCCCCAACUUCUGAAA
rnacentral:misc_RNA from 1 species